CCAGGAGUCGUUCCAGAUCCGGUGGCACCUGGUUCUGAAUCAGUAAAACUCAAGGAAUUGUGGCCACGAGGGAGAGCCAUUGUUGGAGAAAACAGGUUUUGAUGCAAAAACUACUGAGGUUGUUGUUGUUGCUGUUGGAGCUGCUGAGCAGAAACAAAUAAAUUACCACAAUGGAAUAGAAAAGGCAACAUGGAUUACUGCUAAGACAUUAACUUCAACAAGAUUAUCAUAACCUGUCCAAAAGGAGAAAGCAAAGUUGAACAAGGUAACACUAAUCACAUAGUAAAGGCAGCCUUAAAUGACUCUCAAUUUCAACAGACAUGCAAAAGCAUUCAGACAUAACUUUAAUUACAGCUACACACCGACAUUUUUGUCCCGGAGCUAUAUUUCAAUGUAUAGCAUAACGUAACCAUGACGCUAAGCUAGCGUUGGCCACAACUUUUGGAUCAAGUUUUGAAAAUUUAUCUUCAAAUAUCCGUUUGACCGUGAAAUUUGAAGAAAUCGUAAAAAUAUAAUCUUCAAACAUUUUCAAGUGCACUGCCUAUUUUUGGGAAAAAUUUCACUUCCACUCAAAGAUUUCAAUUUUUUUCCAAGUAAAAUGCAUAUCCAAACACAAUCCAAGUUCCAAAAAAUCACAAAUCAAAAACUCAAAUUUUCAAUUUUCAAGUUUCGACUUUAAAAUCUAAGACCAACCGGACGCCAAGUGUGGAGAAUUAACACAAAAACCAUACAAACCUAAAUGCAACAACUAUAAUGUCCUUCAACUGAUAUCAUUUUUCUUAAAAAGGGAUUUAUAGUUCCAGUGGAUCUUUACUUUCCAUGGAUGACCAGCAAUGACUAUCAUCUUACAUACAAAGCAAGUCUAAGGACUCAUUUGUUUGCACCUAAUGGACGUCUAGGCCAUUAAAAGCAUUUGUUCACAUUAAGAUUUAAGCACUUAUUUGGUCUAAUAGGUCUUUAUCAUUAAGAUGUUGAACAAAAUUUUAAUACUCCCUCCAUUCCUUUUUAGUUAUCACGUUUUGCUUUACAAUAAUCGAUUUGACUAAUUUUCAAAGCUAAAUUAGAUUAGAUUAAUUCAAUAUUUUUUAAUCAAAAUUUGGAUAUUCAAAAUACUAUACGAAAAGUACUUUAAGUUGCAAUUUUUCCCAUAUCAAUUUGCUGAAAAAAUAAAUCUUAAAAAUGCUUGUCAAAGUUCAUAUUAUUUGCCUCUCAAAAAAGAAACUGUGACAAGUAACAAGAAAAGGAGGGAGUACAAGUAAGAGAUACUUUUAUGUGAAUAAUCUUGACCACUCCUCUGUCAACGACCAACCACCUCCACCAUUAACCACCUUUAUCAUCACUGUCGACCAUAACCACCAACCACUAGGGCUAUUCAAAACAGUUGGUGAACUGAUCAAAGUUUUAUAGUCAACGACUUAUUGGUACAGGGGAGAUUACUCAAUUUUCUUAUCGAGUAAACCGUUAGCUUCACAUUUGUACCCUUAAGUAUAUCAAAUACGUAUUGCAAAUUACAAUUCUAAACCCUUAAGUAAGCAAGCCUAAACCACAGCCCCCAUUCCGCCAUUCAACAUUCUAAAGUUUCUCAUCAGUCAUUCUCUCUUCAUGCUUCAAUAACAACAAGUUGGCUAUGAGAAGCAAGUGCUUUUAAUGCUAUUAUUUUCUCGAUAGUCGAUACACCACUCGUUCCGUGUCGAUAAUUGUUAACCUAAUGUCGAACCAACCGAUAUUUUAUCGGUUGGCUAGCGAAUUAGAAUAUUUAAAAGUUGAUGGUUAAUAAGUCAAAUUUUAAGCAUAUUUAUCCGUCGGUAAGCAACCCUACCAAUCACCACUGGCAAACACUAUUGUCAGCCGCUACCACACCUACCGCCUCCAUCAUUUAUAAUUAUAUAUAUUGCUGCCACUGCCACUCUGGACAAUUCCUGCUAUCGGCCACCUCUACAAUUACAACUACCACUAACACCAUCAUCAACCACCACACAUUCUUCAGCUACUAUCACCACCACUAUCAACUACGAACAUCAACCAACUCCAUAAUCACAACCAUCACCACCACUACCAAUCAUCAUCACUGCACAAGUAACUACAACACCAACAACCUCCACCACCAUUACUAACCACUGGCACCAACCAUACCACCACCAUUACAAACCAUUUCAACCAUCAUCAGCGAACAAAAAUGUCUUAUUUUUUAUCAAAUUAUGAAUUUAUUUAAUUACAUUUACAUAUUUUUCUAAUAUUUAAUAAAUUUUUUAUUUAAGUUAUAUAUUUAUUGUGUUAAAAAAAUAAAUUAUGCACAUCCAAAUGUUAAAAAAUAGUCUUAAUCAUUCAAUUUUUAGAUCUAGAAAUAUCUUAAUCAUUUUUAUGUGCAUUCAAAUUCAAAUAUCUUAAUACUAAUGCAAGAAAACGGGGCCUAAGAUAUUAGGACAUGUAAUUUCACUUUUUUUUUCAAUUCCCCUUGUUGUACAAUUCUGAAGUGGUUGUUUGACGCCCGAUGAAGCCCCCAAAGGAACACGUAAUUGCACUUGAUAUUCAAUCAUAUUAACAUUUGACCAUGCAAGAGGUAUACUUGUCCAUCAUCUUUAGUGAUCCCAAAUUAGUUGAAUAUGAAAUGAUAAAGAUAAGCCCGGUUAAUGAAGGAUCUAUAAUCUAUAUCUAUAAUAAUAAUAAUAUAUUAAAAGUGUGAAGACCUUAGAAAAGUGAUUUAAAUUUUUUGCCCUUCAUUAAAAGACUCUUCUUCAGACAAAGCUGUCUUUUCACUAUUUAUUUAACUUAUAUUUAAUUAAAACUCUAUUUACAUUCUUUCUACCAAAAAAUAAAAUGUUAUUAAACAAAAAACAAAAAAACACCGACAUAAAAUAUUUUACAACUUCCGUCUAUUACCUUUUAUAUACAAAUUUACUUUUUAAGGUAGAAGGUUCUUAUAGUUGAUAUUUUGCUUAAUCUAUAUUAUUUUAAAAUUUUAUUUUUAUUUUUAGAAAGAAAAUGAGCACGAUUAUUUUCAAAUUCUACCUUUCAUAGAUAAAUAUUUUCAGAAACCAUUAAUAUUUUUCUUUUUACUUAUCAAUUAGAAAAAUACUCCUAAAAUAGGACUCUAUUCAGGAACUACUUCUAUAAUAUUGGGAUGUACGUUAAACUAGAGAACAAACUGGUUUGUCUAUUGGGAGAAUAUGAUUGAUGCUCAUUUAACUUGAUUCGAUUGCAUGUAUCCUCAACUUCUUCACAGUUUUUGUCAGCAUAAUAGAAUUCAACAUGUGUAUAUAUAUAUCUUCUUUGUUUUCAUUCAAAAUCAUUCUUUAGGGUCAAAUUUUCAAUCAGACAAGAAUUAGUUAGAUCAAAAUCGAAACUUUGUGAUCACUAUCAUAUUAUUUUUUUUAUACUUUACAUGUCGUAGAUGAAUGUCGGUUGAUUUUGAAGAAUUUUUUGCGUAAAGGUUAGAUUUAAAUGUAUUAUUUUGAUAUAUUUAUUAUUUUAUUAUUUUAUUUUAAUUCACAGAUGCUAGAUGAAUGUGGGUCGGCUUUGAAUUCUUUUUAGGUAAAGUUUAGAUUUAAUUAUAUUAUCAUAAUAUCUCUAUUAGUUUAUUAUUUUGUGGUAGUUUACAGUUCAGAGAUGAAUCUCGAUCGGCUUUGAGAAAUUUUUAUGUGUAAAAUAUAAGUUUAAUUGUACUGUUUUGAUAUCACUUUUAUUGUAUUAUUUUGUUGCGGUGUACCAGUGAUAGAUAAGUGUUGGUCGGCUUUGAAGAGUUUUUUUUAUGUAAAUGUUAGGUUUAGUUGUAUUAUUUUGAUAUCUCUAUUAUCGUAUUAUUUUGUUAUUAUUUAUAGGUGGUAGAUAAGUGUUGGACGACUUUGAGAAAAUUUUUGUGUGUAAAAAAUAAAUUUAAUUGUAUUAUUUUGAUCUCUCUGUCAUUGUAUUUUUUGUUGCAAUUUACAGAUGGUAGAUGAAUAUUGAUCGACUUUUAAAAAUAUUUUUGAUAAAUGUUAGAUUUAGUAAAUAAAUUUUUCAUCUUUAUAUGCUCAAAAGAUAUUAAAUUUAAUUAUUAUAUUCAUCUUUAUUAUUUAAACAAAUAUCCUAUUAGUGUAAUGUUUGAACUCAUUAAAGUGAAGUACAUGCACAAGGCGCGUACACCUAAACUAGUUUAUUCUAAGUAUGGAAAUGCUCUCCCUUUACAUCAAUCAACAAGUGGAUAUUGGACUUUCGAAACCUAUUUCUAUCCCAAAAAUCAAGCGUUCUGAGAAUUUGAGAUUUCUCCUCGUGAUAUGUUGUCGUGAUAUGAAAUCAACAUUAAACUAUAUGUCCAAACGCUGAUUUUAUCUCUUCAUUUCAAAUCACGAGACGAAAUCACAUGUCCGAACACCUGCUUAGAAUGUCAUUUAUCGAACUUGUUUCCCCUAUUUCCCUUUAAGGAACAUCUUUUCCCAGAAAAAAUAUAUUUCCUGAAAAUUUUGUCCUACCAAACAAGGAGAAAUUACAAAACUUCAUACCAAACAGACCCUUAUUCCAUCCAAAUAAUCUAAAUUUAUUUUUCUUAUGAAUAAUUUAUAUAGCAGUUGAGAUCAAUAAGAGUUAACACAAGAAGUCAGGGCAUGAAAUCAUUUAGACUAGAGGAGGCGGCAAAAAGAAUGACAAAAAUGGCAGAACAAUCAUGCUAAUAACACAAACAGACAUGAAAUUUCACAACAGACUAAUGUUUAAAGCAAACUCACAACAGACUAUGUUUGUCAUCUUCAGUCAACAAGCAAAUUGCAGUUGAACAAGUUUUUAUUACAGCAAAGCAACGGGUGCACCGAUCUCCAGGGACAUCACAACUUGUUAAAGUUGAAUUAUAAUUGAUCAUUAGAUGGUGAAGCCAAUUCCUCUGAACUUGGUGGUUCGAUUAAGUCAUUCGAACCAACAUGGUCAACCAGCCCCGGACUGAUGGUCUCCUUAGUGAUACUGCUUUGACUUGUUUCAGCUUGUGGUGACGUCUCCAUCAUGGUAGGCAUCUGAGGUAAACACCAAGACUAUGAAUUAUACAUCAAAUGCAGGUCGUAUCAUCACAAAAGAAGAUCCAACUCACCAUUUCCAAACACUCUUUGUAGAGAUCAAAUGCAUAAUAACUCAAACAACCUCACUUUUUUGCAGAUAUAAAGCUAUAUACCACCCAAGAAAGUAAAGAGAGGAGGAAGAGCUUACAUGUUCUGCAUGGUUUUUCUUAUCCUCACUUGAAAAACCUGGAACAGUCAAAUGCCAAUUUUUCUCUGAAAAAACAUCAUAGUUAACUUAGACCAAUACCACAAUUUUUGUUCUUUCUUAAUCAAAAUAUGUAAUGAAACAUCCUAAGCAAUGAUACGCCGAAUGAAAACAUUCUCAGGAACUACCGCAUUGAUGAGAUCAUGAAGGAGCCUUUCCGUCAAAGUAUAGCGAAGUGCAUUAGGCAAAGCAAAAAGUUGUUGCCUGAUAUAAUUUUAGCAGGAUUAAUGUGCUGGGACAAAAUACAGUUGCGUUCUGCAUGUACUAAACAACCAAGGAAAUCGAAAUCUAUUCACAAAAUUGGGAGCCAUUUUAUGUACUGUAUACGACUGCAGUGUCACUCUCUCAGAUGCAACUAGGACAAUUCAGAUACUCAACUUUUAACUAAGUCAGGAUUCAGCUCACACAUAACUUGGAGCCACUCCUGACGACUAAAGAGAAAGCUGCUCAAACUAUUUUCAUCAUAUUAUUCGCCAGCAACUCUUGAUGCAUACAUAUGAGGAGGUGGAUACAAAUUCUAGUGGUUGGCUGUGUGCAUAAGUAGCUUAAAAGCAUAUAGAGCUCAAGGCUAAUCACUGUGGAGACUGAUGGUACACCAUACAUCCAUGAAACAAAGUUUUGUCCCAGUUUGUAUUGAUAGGAAUAUGGUGUCAAAUUUUGUGACGCCAAUUAAAUUCCAGAGAGAAUACCUGUGAACGGGCUAAAUGCAGAGGAUCUCACCAUAUAAUCAUGGAAAAGACACACCCAUAAACAAUCUUAUUAUGAAAAUAUACGCAACAAUUACGACCAUUAAUUUCUAUAAAGGCUGAAAUGAUUUCUUACAAGCUAAAAUAGUGAUAAAUUGCUUGUUUUUUCUUAAACAAAAGGAAACAAAGUAAGCAAGUCUGCCAUCUUUCGCAAUUACUGGCACAAACCUAAAUGUAACAAUACAUCUUUGGCCUCCAGAGUUGAAGAUUUCCGAUGCUUUGCCAAAUUGCAAGCAAAAGUAGUAACCUACAAAGAGGAACGGAAAAUGAAACUUAGCAAAGAAAAUGACAAACAAUCAAUGCUAAUACAUAUAUCAUAUGCGUUGACUUUCAUGAAUUAUUUUCUGCAGAAAGUAUUUCAAAAGGAAGCAAGCUAUUGAUUGACUGUUUCAUGCAUCGAAGUAUAGAUAACAUUAAAGGCACAAGUUUGGAUGGACUUAUAGCUUAUGACUUAUAAGCCAAAAGUCACAAGUUAGGAUUUCUAACUUAUGACUUUUAGCUUAUUUUUGUUAUUUUGACUUGAACCCAAGUGCUUAAAAGCACUUUUUUACUCUUAUCCAAACACUACAAAAGUGCUCAAAAGCUAUUUUGGCUUAAAAUCGCCUAAAUAAAUCAAUCCAAACAGGCUCUAAAUCACUUCCCAACAAAUUUAGUUUAUUUUUGCUUAAAUUGGCAAAAGGGAGGGAGGGGGCGUUCAACCAGCAGAGGAUGACCCUUGAAAAGAAAAAAAUCCUCUUUAACUGGCAGUGUCAAUGUAUUCAACCACAGAAUCUAAAAAGCUGAGAACUUGAACUGUAAAAGAUACCCGCAAUCACCCACCCUCCUGGCCCAAUUGUUCCAAAAAAAGAUAACGAUAACAAGGAACAAAUCAUUUUUGUGUCUCACCGAAUCAAUAAAGUCAUCAGCAAUCUCAUAAAGAAGCUCUUCAACUUCAGGAUCAACUUUUCCCUUCGGAUCUACCUGAAACAUUACAAUACAAUGUGGAAAGCUAAAAAGUUAAUGUACUAAUAAAAUCACAAAACCUAUUUAUAGAACUUAACUGGUUUUAGAAGUACGGUUUAUUCAAAUUCACCUUUUUUUUUCAAUACAGUUUAGUCAAAUUCAAAUUCCCCAGCAAAAAAAUUUGAAACUUCUUUAGGGGUAGUAAAACGGAAACUGAGGGAAAGAUCACUUUUCAUAUACUUUGUGCACCCAAACUUUUAAGUGAUCGUGAAAUAAAAAAAAUUUAAUUGAUUCCAACUAUUUUCUUGAGAAACCACCAAGGAGAAUGGAAAGUUAUGGAGAUUAACAAGGUGACCAAAAACCUGUGAAACUAAAUCUUGUAUCUUUCUCUUGCCAAGAAACCGAUUGUUUGCUUCAAUCCCUUGGCUUGAACUACUCCCAGGAGUCGUUCCAGAUCCGGUGGCACCUGGUUCUGAAUCAGUAAAACUCAAGGAAUUGUGGCCACGAGGGAGAGCCAUUGUUGGAGAAAACAGGUUUUGAUGCAAAAACUACUGAGGUUGUUGUUGUUGCUGUUGGAGCUGCUGAGCAGAAACAAAUAAAUUACCACAAUGGAAUAGAAAAGGCAACAUGGAUUACUGCUAAGACAUUAACUUCAACAAG
rnacentral:lncRNA from 1 species